UGAGGAAUAUUUGGCAAUGGAAUAGUAUCUGACCAAGCAAUACCACGUGAAGGAUGACGGCUUUUGGGUUGUAAACUUCUUUUGUUAACGAAGAAUUUUAUUAUGUAUAGUGACGUUAGUUAAAGAAUAAGUGCCGGCUAAUCUUGUGCCAGCAGCCGCGGUAAUACAAGAGGCACAAGCGUUGUUCAGUAUUAUUGGGCGUAAAGCGUAACUAGGCGGGUGCGCCAAGUUUGAUGUUAAAGACCAAAGCUUAACUUUGGUUAAGCAUUACAGACAGGUAACCUUGAGUUCAGUAGAGGUAAAUGGAAUUUUAUGUGUAGCGAUGAAAUGCGUUGAUAUAUUAAAAGAACGCCAAUAGGCGAAGGCAAUUUACUGGGCUGAGACUGACGCUGAAAGACGAAAGCUAAGGGAGCAAAUC
rnacentral:rRNA from 1 species